ACAAUUCUCACUUUUAAGGCUGACACUUGUAACUUUGUAACCACGGUCGCUUGUGAGAUGAAUUGCUAACAACUAGAUAGCUCUGUUCAAGAUUAUCGCGUACAUAAGAACUUACCCAGAGUCGGCAAAAAAUGAAUGUUUGGCUUCAAACUUAACAUUCAUACUUUUGGAUCAUUUUAAACAUUACUGGUAAUCACGCUGGUGAUUUACAAAGAUGUUUAAAAUAAAGUUUGAAAGUUAUUUACUAAAAACUGGAGCGGCCACGUAAGUCUGUCGAAAAAUUAAUGGAAAAUUAUAAAGAUGU